CAGUAGCCGCGGGAAUACAGAGGGUGCGAGCGUUAAUCGGAUUUACUGGGCGUAAAGCGUGCGUAGGCGGCUUCUUAAGUCGGAUGUGAAAUCCCUUAGCUUAACUUAGGAAUUGCAUUCGAUACUGGGAAGCUAGAGUAUGGGAGAGGAUGGUAGAAUUCCAGGUGUAGCGGUGAAAUGCGUAGAGAUCUGGAGGAAUACCGAUGGCGAAGGCAGCCAUCUGGCCUAAUACUGACGCUGAGGUACGAAAGCAUGGGGAGCAAACAGGAUUAGAUACCCCAGUAGUCCCUGUCUCUUAUAC
rnacentral:rRNA from 1 species